rnacentral:rRNA from 1 species
GGAUGUAUAGCAAUAGCUACUUGCAUCAUUGUAAAAAUGAUGCAGGAUCGACUAUGUCGAAUAAAAUUCUAGGUAGAAUUUUGAUAAUGACAUUGUCUGCCUAUGUGUCUUGACCAAAUUACGUGCCAGCAGUCGCGGUAAUACGUAGAAGACUAGUGUUAUUCAUGUUUAAUCGGUUUAAAGGGUACCUAGACGGUAAAUCAAGCCUAAAAUUAAAUGAAGGGACUAAUUUACUAGAGUUACUUAUGAGGGGGUAUUAAAGUACUGCUGGUGUAGAGAUGAAAUUCUGUCAUACCUCUUUUCUAUAGAAAAAUAAUGGCACAGGUAUAGGCGAAAGCAUCCCCUUAUGUGAUAACUGACGUUGAGGGACGAAGGCUUUGUGUAGCGAACAGGAUUAGAUACCCCAGUAGUCAAAGCAGAAAAUGAUGAAUGUCAUAGAUUAGAUAAAUAAGUUUAUUCUAUAAAUGAAAGUGUAAGCAUUCCACCUCAAGAGUAAUUUGGCAACAUUGGAACUGAAAUCAUUAGACCGUUUCUGAAACCAGUAGUGAAGUAUGUUGUUUAAUUUGAUGAUCCGCAAAAAACCUUACCACAAUUUGAAUAUUUAUAUCUUUUAUUGUUUUUUUUUAUUUUCUUCNGAUUUAAAAAGAGGCGAUAUGAUAUAUUACAAGCGUUGCACGGCUGUCUUCAGUAAUGUCGCGAGACUUUGGKUAGUUCCA